rnacentral:tRNA from 1 species
AGCUCAGUGGUAGAGUGCUUGUGUAGUAUUCAAGGAGCCCUGGGUUUGAUUCCCAG